rnacentral:rRNA from 1 species
UACGGGGGAUGCAAGCGUUAUUCGGAAUCAUUGGGCGUAAAGGGCACGCAGGCGGCUCUGCCAGUCAGAUGUGAAAGCCCGGGGCUCAACCCCGGACGUGCAUUUGAAACAGCAGAGCUUGAGUACGGUAGAGGAAAGCGGAAUUCCUGGUGUAGAGGUGAAAUUCGUAGAUAUCAGGAGGAACACCGGUGGCGAAGGCGGCUUUCUGGACCGAAACUGACGCUGAGGUGCGAAGGCGUGGGUAGCGAACAGG